GGGGAGCCGGGCGGGGCUCGGAGCCCCGGGGAGCCCGGGAGCCGCCAGCGGGCGAUGGGAAGCAAGAGUAAUUUCAAGGCAGGCCCAGCAAUGACAACUUAGAAAUGGGACAAGAUGUCUCAGGGUCCUCAAGGGAACUAUGCACCAAAAAAAGAGAUUGGAAUAGAAACGAAAGGAUCAUUUUAUUCAUAGCUGAGCCAGCACCCAAUAACCUCUGGAACAGAACUCUGCCAAAAGACUGAGUUGCAUCAUGUGGCUUAGGUUUAAGGCUGAAGUGAAGCUUCCUCAUUCCCUGCUCUCCCUCCACCUUCCAAAUUUGGGGACCAGCAUGCAUAGGCGAGCCUGCAGAAAGAGAGGAGGAGAUGAUCAGAUCUGCAAAGCAGACCAGCUUUACUCAUCUAAAGCUGGGCUGGCCUACUCGGCAGGAAUUCGGGAGCAGAAGCAGCACACAUAGCUGUGGGAUCUUUCAACACAGAAGGACCCCAACACUGAUGUUCUCUCUCUGCCCAGCCCUUUCAGAUGAGAUGUCCACACCCUAACCCCUGGAACCAGCAAAUAUGUUAUAUUACCAGGCAAGGGAGAAUUGAGAUUGAAGAUGAAAACGAAGUUGCUAAUCAGCUGACCUCAAAAUGGGGAGAUUAUCCUGAUGGGCCCAGUGUAAUCACAAGGGUCCUCAGAAGUGAAAGAGGGAAGCAAGACACUCAAUGCCAGAGUGGGGCAGCAUGAGAAAGGCUUGACGAGUCAUUGCUGGCUUUGAAGAUGGAAGGGGAUCAUGAGCCAAAGAAUGCUGGCAGCCUCUCACAGCUGGAAAAGGUGAGGAAAUGGACUCUCUCCUGGAGCCUCCAGAGGAAUGCAGCCCUGCGACACCUCGAUUUUAGCCCAGCGGGAUCCAUUUCAGAUGUCUGACCUGCAGAACUCUAAGAUAAGAAAAAUUGUGUUGUUUUGAGCCACUCAGUUUGUGAUACUUUGUUACAGCAGCACUAAGAAAGUAACACAAAAGGUGAAUAAAGCCAGUUAGGAGAAAACAGGUUUUGAGGGAAGAAAGCUCAUGGCUUUGCUUGUUCUGAGCUGAGGGGCUGGUGGCAUCUGUGAAAGGGCCAGAAGGCCAUUGGAAACGUGAGUUUGGAUUUCAGAAAAGAGGCUGGGGUUUGGGAUCCUGGAAUCAUUUCCUAGAGGAGAUACUUGACAUCUGGAGCAUGGGUGAGAAGGCUUAGGGGGAAAGUUUAGAGCGGUGCUGUCCAAUAGGAUAUGAUACAAGCCAUGAGUGUGAGCCACUCUUGUAACUAAAUUUUUCAGUAACCACAAUAAAAACAUUAAAAAAGAAACAGAGGAAGUUAAAUUUUAAUAAUAUAUUUUAUUGUACCGUACAUAUCCAAAUUAUUAUCAUUUCAACAUGUAAUCAGCAAAUUAUUAAUGAGAUAUUUUACAUUCUUUUUUUUUUGGUAUGUGCAUUUUAAAUCUGCUGUGCAUUUUAUACUCAGCUCAGCACAUCUAUAAAUACUUUCAAGGGCUCUAUAACCAUCACGUGGCUGGUGGCUACUGUAUCAGACUGUGCAGUUUAGAGAAAGAGCAGACACAAAGUGUGGAGCCUUGAGAGACAUCUGUAUUUAGAAGACAGGAGGAGAAAAGGAGCCAGUGAAGGAAUAGAGCAAGGUAGGAGGAGAUGCAGGAUGGUGCAAUGUUUCAAAAUCCAAAGGAUUUGUAUUUAGGAAAACAUGGAGCAGGGAAGCAUCACAUGCUCUCUUUCUUCAAUGCUCUGGUUCAUUCAGCUCUUACAUUCUAGAGGUGUUCUCCCUGGCUGUAGUGAAGCUCUACACUACAGAGUCACUUUCUUUGCUCUGGCUUUCAUAUUCUCAUAUACACAGCAAGCCAUAAUUUUUGUGGCCCAGGUAUAGGUGGCUGGGAAUAACAGGGUGACUAGGGGAAAGAAGAAAGGAGCACUGAGGUGGUACAAGGUUGCUGAAGGAUGUGAUGAUUUGGAACAGGUGCCUGGUGGGAGUAAGAUGGAGAUCACGUUACCAUGACAACUGAUUAUUUCAUUGGUCCAAUGACCAGUUGCCAUGGUGAUGAAAUCUUUGUGUCAUUGUGACAUGGAUCCCAAGGGAGAGUACGCUUGUGCAAAGGACCCUUUGCUCAUUGGUAAAGCUUUUAUAUUUGCAAUAAUUUUUGCAUUGCUUGAUGAAACCUCCCCCAGGAACUUCAAUCAACAUUGAGGUUCCCUUCCUCCUUCCUGUGCACUUAUAGCAAUCACUGCUUGCAAAAUGCACACACUUUCAUCAUUCAUCUUCUAUAUAGUGUUUGUUAAUCUGAUAGUAUUUAAUUGUUUUAGUAAUUUAUCGCUUUCUCCUACACAGAUAUAAUCCUGUUGAAGGCAGGGAUCAUUCUUAUAAUUCAGUUGUGUUUUCAGAGGACUAGGGGUUAGUGGAAAAAAAGCAGAUCCUUGGGAGCAAGACAGAUCUGUGUUUACAUACCACCUCCGCUUCUGCCAUUUGCCAAUUGUGUGGCCCUAGGAAAGUAAUUUUAUCUUCUUGAGAUUUAGUUUUCUUCUGUAAAAUGAGGAUAAUAAAACUUACACUGUGGGUUUGCUGUGAUGAUUACAGAUAACCUUAAUAAAGUAGCUGGCUUACAGUAGUGACUCAAUAAAUGGUUCCAACUAGUAUAACAUGGUACCCAGCCCAGUCCUGGAUGCCAGGAUUACCUCUUAAUAAUACUUUAUGAAUAAUAAGAUAGUGAUGACAGAUUAUAGGAUAACAGUAGGACUAGAUUUAAUCUUCGGUGUGGCUAAAGAUCAGUUGUCCUAUGGUGGUCCGACUAUACAUCAGCUGCAAUGCUGAACUUGCAAUCUAACUUAUGCUAACUUCUUGGGAGGAAAAUUUUUUUUUUAAAGAUUUUAUUUUUUCCUUUUUCUCCCAAAGCCCCCCAGUACAUAGUUGUGUAUUUUCAGUUGUGGGUCCUUCUGG